rnacentral:lncRNA from 1 species
CUUCUUUGCCAUGCAUUUUGUAGCCCUGAAGCAUUGCCUGGGUCCUGCAGGUCUUGUAGGGAGAAUGGAGAGGAUAUAAGUUUCCACCACAAGAAUAAGAAGCUGUCUGCAACAGUGUCAUCAAAUAAAAAGGCAUAUGGCAUCAAUGCGGCAGCACCAUCUCACAAGAAGGACUACCCAUGGCUGAAUGGCACAUAUAACAUCAUGCGCGCUGUCCGUCUAAACGUGUCGUGAGAGAGCAGAUGCAGAGAACUGGGUAUUCUUGUCAGAGAUAGUCUGAGAAGAAGAAAAGGAA